rnacentral:rRNA from 1 species
CCUACGGGGGGCUGCAGUGGGGAAUAUUGCACAAUGGGCGCAAGCCUGAUGCAGCCAUGCCGCGUGUGUGAAGAAGGCCUUCGGGUUGUAAAGCACUUUCAGCGGGGAGGAAGGCGGUGAGGUUAAUAACCUCAUCGAUUGACGUUACCCGCAGAAGAAGCACCGGCUAACUCCGUGCCAGCAGCCGCGGUAAUACGGAGGGUGCAAGCGUUAAUCGGAAUUACUGGGCGUAAAGCGUACGCAGGCGGUCUGUCAAGUCGGAUGUGAAAUCCCCGGGCUCAACCUGGGAACUGCAUUCGAAACUGGCAGGCUAGAGUCUUGUAGAGGGGGGUAGAAUUCCAGGUGUAGCGGUGAAAUGCGUAGAGAUCUGGAGGAAUACCGGUGGCGAAGGCGGCCCCCUGGACAAAGACUGACGCUCAGGUGCGAAAGCGUGGGGAGCAAACAGGAUUAGAUACCCGAGUAGUC